ensembl:lincRNA
CUUGAACCAGCCUUUAAAGAAAGAUUAGGCCCUUCAUUCUUGGGAAUGAAUGUUGAUGGGUUCCGGUGAGUAUUGAUUUACAUUUUCUUUCUUUCAUAUAUUUAUUGUUGUGAGUCUGAGACUACAUGAUGAUGUUAAAGAAAUGAACGCUUAGGUUUAAAGUAUUUGAAGAACUCAACUUACCUCAGAGAUAUUUUAAGCAACUGUCCAGAUCGUUUUAAACCUGUACUUUAAUGCUCAAGACAUUCUGUAUUGAGAGUAACAAAAUAAAUGACCAUAACUCUUUCUCCUCUGUGUUUUCCUUCUAGUCCUGGAUCAACCAUCACUGAUUUGAGUGUAACAGUGACUAAUUUAACCAGUAAUGAAAGUUCAGUCUCACAACUAAUAGACCAAGCUAUUACUACUGCAAACCUUCCUUUUAAUGUCACCAGUGUACAAGUGACAACUACAGCUGCCCCUGAUACAGUAACAACAGAACCAUCAACUACAACCACUGCGCCUGUUACAACAACAACAGAACACACAUCUACAACAGAACAAUCAACUACAACCACUGCCCCUGUUACAACAACAACAGAACACACAUCUUCAACAGAACCAUUAACUACAACCACUGCGCCUGUUACAACAACAACAGAACACACAUCUACAACAGAACUAUCAACUACAACCACUGUGCCUGUUACAACAACAACAGAACACACAUCUACAACAGAACCAUCAACUACAACCACUGCCCCUGUUACAACAACAACAGAACACACAUCUACAACAGAACCAUCAACUACAACCACUGCGCCUGUUACAACAACAACUGAACACACAUCUACAACAGAACCAUCAACUACAACCACUGCCCCUAUAACAUCAACAACAGAACACACAUCUACAACAGAACAAUCAACUAUAACCACUGCCCCUGUUACAACAACAACAGAACACACAUCUACAACAGAACCAUCAACUACAACCACUGCGCCUGUUACAACAACAACAGAACAAACAUCUACAACAGAACCAUCAACUACAACCACUGCCCCUGUUACAACAACAGAACACACAUCUACAACAGAACCAUCAACUACAACAACUGCGCCUGUUACAACAACAGAACACACAUCUACAACAGAACCAUCAACUACAACCACUGCCCCUGUUACAACAACAACAGAACACACAUCUACAACAGAACAAUCAACUAAAACCACAGCCCCUGAUACAACAACAACAACAGAACACACAUCUACAACAGAACCAUCAACUACAACCACUGCGCCUGUUACAACAACAACAGAACACACAUCUACAACAGAACCAUCAACUACAACCACUGCGCCUGUUACAACAACAACAGAACACACAUCUACAACAGAACCAUCAACUACAACCACUGCCCCUGUUACAACAACAACAGAACACACAUCUACAACAGAACCAUCAACUACAACCACUGCGCCUGUUACAACAACAACAGAACACACAUCUACAACAGAACAAUCAACUACAACCACUGCGCCUGUUACAACAACAACAGAACACACAUCUACAACAGAACAAUCAACUACAACCACUGCCCCUGUUACAACAACAACAGAACACACAUCUACAACAGAACAAUCAACUACAACCACUGCGCCUGUUACAACAACAACAGAACACACAUCUACAACAGAACCAUCAACUACAACCACUGCGCCUGUUACAACAACAACAGAACACACAUCUACAACAGAACCAUCAACUACAACCACUGCACCUGUUACAACAACAACAGAACACACAUCUACAACAGAACAAUCAACUACAACCACUGCGCCUGUUACAACAACAACAGAACACACAUCUACAACAGAACAAUCAACUACAACCACUGCGCCUGUUACAACAACAACAGAACCUACAUCUACAACAGAACAAUCAACUACAACCACUGCGCCUGUUACAACAACAACUGAACACACAUCUACAACAGAACCAUCAACUACAACCACUGCACCUGUUACAACAACAACAGAACACACAUCAACAACAGAACAAUCAACUACAACCACUGCGCCUGUUACAACAACAACAGAACACACAUCUACAACAGAACAAUCAACUACAACCACUGCGCCUGUUACAACAACAACAGAACCUACAUCUACAACAGAACAAUCAACUACAACCACUGCGCCUGUUACAACAACAACAGAACACACAUCUACAACAGAACAAUCAACUACAACCACUGCCCCUGUUACAACAACAACAGAACACACAUCUACAACAGAACCAUCAACUACAACCACUGCCCCUGUAACAACAACAACAGAACACACAUCUACAACAGAACCAUCAACUACAACCACUGCCCCUGUAACAACAACAACAGAACACACAUCUACAACAGAACCAUCAACUACAACCACUGCCCCUGUAACAACAACAACAGAACACACAUCUACAACAGAACCAUCAACUACAACCACUGCCCCUGUAACAACAACAACAGAACACACAUCUACAACAGAACCAUCAACUACAACCACUGCCCCUGUAACAACAACAACAGAACACACAUCUACAACAGAACCAUCAACUACAACCACUGCCCCUGUAACAACAACAACAGAACACACAUCUACAACAGAACCAUCAACUACAACCACUGCCCCUGUAACAACAACAACAGAACACACAUCUACAACAGAACCAUCAACUACAACCACUGCCCCUGUAACAACAACAACAGAACACACAUCUACAACAGAACCAUCAACUACAACCACUGCCCCUGUAACAACAACAACAGAACACACAUCUACAACAGAACCAUCAACUACAACCACUGCGCCUGUUACAACAACAACAGAACACACAUCUACAACAGAACCAUCAACUACAACCACUGCCCCUAUAACAUCAACAACAGAACACACAUCUACAACAGAACCAUCAACUACAACCACUGCGCCUGUUACAACAACAAAAGAACACACAUCAACAACAGAACCCUUAACUACAACCACUGCGCCUGUUACAACAACAACAGAACACACAUCUACAACAGAACCAUCAACUACAACCACUGCCCCUGUUACAACAACAACAGAACCUACAUCUACAACAGAACAAUCAACUACAACCACUGCGCCUGUUACAACAACAACAGAACACACAUCUACAACAGAACCAUCAACUACAACCACUGCGCCUGUUACAACAACAACUGAACACACAUCUACAACAGAACCAUCAACUACAACCACUGCACCUGUUACAACAACAACAGAACACACAUCAACAACAGAACAAUCAACUACAACCACUGCGCCUGUUACAACAACAACAGAACACACAUCUACAACAGAACAAUCAACUACAACCACUGCGCCUGUUACAACAACAACAGAACCUACAUCUACAACAGAACAAUCAACUACAACCACUGCGCCUGUUACAACAACAACUGAACACACAUCUACAACAGAACCAUCAACUACAACCACUGCCCCUAUAACAUCAACAACAGAACACACAUCUACAACAGAACAAUCAACUACAACCACUGCGCCUGUUACAACAACAACAGAACACACAUCUACAACAGAACAAUCAACUACAACCACUGCCCCUAUAACAUCAACAACAGAACACACAACAACAACAGAACAAUCACCUACAAUUAUAAUUGAAGUGACAACAGUUUAUUUUACGAUUUCCAGCCCUGAUAAUUUCACGAGUGACUUGUAUAAUUCAUCUUCACCAGCAUAUAUUGACAGAGUAAAGAAAACCAAAGAGCUUGACCCAGUCUUUAAACAGAAAUAUAACCAGACAUACGUUGAUAUGCAAGUUAUAGGAUUCCAUCCUGGAUCAACCCUCACUGAUAUAGGUGUAACAUUUACAACUGCACCCGCUAAUGAGGACAUAAUCAGCACUAUCAAAUCUGCAACCCUGAGUUUUACUGUCACCAGAGCAGAGGUCACUCCAAACCCAGAAACAAUGAUGACCACACCUCCAGAUACAACUACUGCACCUGUUACAGAAACAACACAACAGACAAGUACAACUUUACUAACCUCUACAAGUCCUUUAACAUCUACUACAGAACAAACAACUACAACUACUGCCCCUGUUACAACAACAACUGAACACACAUCUACAACAGAACCAUCAACCACAACCACUGCCCCUGUUACAACAACAACAACAGAACACACAUCUACAACAGAACAAUCAACAACAACCACUGCCCUUGUUACAACAACAACAGAACACACAUCUACAACAGAACUAUCAACUACAACCACUGCGCCUGUUACAACAACAACAGAACACACAUCUACAACAGAACCAUCAACCACAACCACUGCGCCUGUUACAACAACAGAACAUACAUCUACAACAGAACAAUCAACUACAACCACUGCGCCUGUUACAACAACAACAGAACACACAUCUACAACAGAACCAUCAACCACAACCACUGCGCCUGUUACAACAACAGAACACACAUCUACAACAGAACAAUCAACUACAACCACUGCCCCUGAAACAACAACAACAGAACACACAUCUACAACAGAACCAUCAACCACAACCACUGCGUCUGUUACAACAACAGAACACACAUCUACAACAGAACAAUCAACUACAACCACUGCCCCUGUUACAACAACAACAGAACACACAUCUACAACAGAACCAUCAACCACAACCACUGCCCCUGAAACAACAACAACAGAACACACAUCUACAACAGAACCAUCAACCACAACCACUGCGCCUGUUACAACAACAACAGAACACACAUCUACAACAGAACCAUCAACUACAACCACUGCGCCUGUUACAACAACAACAGAACACACAUCUACAACAGAACCAUCAACCACAACCACUGCGCCUGUUACAACAACAACAGAACACACAUCUACAACAGAACCAUCAACUACAACCACUGCACCUGUUACAACAACAACAGAACACACAUCAACAACAGAACCAUCAACUACAACCACUGCGUCUGUUACAACAACAACAGAACACACAUCUACAACAGAACCAUCAACUACAACCACUGCGCCUGUUACAACAACAACUGAACACACAUCUACAACAGAACCAUCAACUACAACCACUGCCCCUAUAACAUCAACAACAGAACACACAUCUACAACAGAACCAUCAACCACAACCACUGCACCUGUUACAACAACAACUGAACACACAUCUACAACAGAACAAUCAACUACAACCACUGCGUCUGUUACAACAACAACAGAACACACAUCUACAACAGAACCAUCAACUACAACCACUGCGCCUGUUACAACAACAACUGAACACACAUCUACAACAGAACCAUCAACUACAACCACUGCCCCUAUAACAUCAACAACAGAACACACAUCUACAACAGAACCAUCAACCACAACCACUGCACCUGUUACAACAACAACAGAACACACAUCUACAACAGAACCAUCAACUACAACCACUGCGCCUGUUACAACAACAACUGAACACACAUCUACAACAGAACCAUCAACUACAACCACUGCCCCUAUAACAUCAACAACAGAACACACAUCUACAACAGAACCAUCAACUACAACCACUGCGUCUGUUACAACAACAACAGAACACACAUCUACAACAGAACCAUCAACUACAACCACUGCCCCUGUUACAACAACAACAGAACACACAUCUACAACAGAACCAUCAACUACAACCACUGCCCCUGUUACAACAACAGAACACACAUCUACAACAGAACUAUCAACUACAACCACUGCGCCUGUUACAACAACAACUGAACACACAUCUACAACAGAAUCAUCAACUACAACCACUGCCCCUAUAACAUCAACAACAGAACACACAUCUACAACAGAACCAUCAACCACAACCACUGCACCUGUUACAACAACAACUGAACACACAUCUACAACAGAACAAUCAACUACAACCACUGCCCCUGUUACAACAACAGAACAAACAUCUACAACAGAACAAUCAACUACAACCACUGCCCCUGUUACAACAACAACAGAACACACAUCUACAACAGAACCAUCAACUACAACCACUGCCCCUGUUACAACAACAGAACACACAUCUACAACAGAACAAUCAACUACAACCACUGCACCUGUUACAACAACAACAGAACACACAUCUACAACAGAACCAUCAACUACAACCACUGCGGCUGUUACAACAACAACAGAACCUACAUCUACAACAGGACACACAUCAACUACAACCACUGCACCUGUUACAACAACAACAGAACACACAUCAACAACAGAACCAUCAACUACAACCACUGCCCCUGUUACAACAACAACAACAGAACACACAUCUACAACAGAACAAUCAACUACAACCACUGCGCCUGUUACAACAACAACAGAACACACAUCUACAACAGAACCAUCAACUACAACCACUGCGCCUGUUACAACAACAACAGAACACACAUCUACAACAGAACCAUCAACUACAACCACUGCGCCUGUUACAACAACAACAGAACACACAUCUACAACAGAACCAUCAACUACAACCACUGCGCCUAUUACAACAACAACAGAACAUGUAUCUACGACUACUGCCCCUGUUACAGAAACACAACUGACAAGUACAGCUGUCCUAACAUCUACAAGUCCUUUGACGUCUACAACAGAACAAACAACAACUACUGCCCCUGUUACAGAAACAGGCUCAUCUACAACUACAACCACAGUCUUAACUAGUACACAACCUAUUACUGCAACUACUGCUUCCUUCACAACUAUAACACAAUCAGAAACAACAACCACACCAAUAACAGCCACCAUUACCUCUGCACCUACAACAUCACCAACAGUUCAACCUACAACCACCGCACCAACUGCAGGCACCCCUCAAGCAACAACCCAAAUCACAUCUACAGUUUUAGUUAGGAUUUCCAGCUCGGAUCAAUUUACAAAUGAAUUGUUAGAUUCAACUUCACAAGGAUAUAGAACGAGAGUCAACAAAGUCGAAGAGCUUGACCCAGUCUUUAAAAGAAAAUAUGGCAAUUCAUACAUCAGAUUGGCAGUUAUUAGGUUCAGUCCUGGAUCAAUCCUCGCUGAUGUAAAUGUAACAUUUACAACUGUACCCACUAAUGAGGACAUAAUCAGCACUAUCACCACUGCAAACCUUACUUUUCCUGUCACCGGAGCAGAGGGUAAGUUAAACGAGCAUCUUCAACAAUGCAGUAUCAUUUUAAAAAAUUUUGGAUGCUUUUGGUAUUUCUCCUGUGUUAUUAGACUAUACAUUAGCUGUUACAUGUGA